GUAUAAGAGACAGCAGUCGCCACGGUAAUACGUAGGUGGCAAGCGUUGUCCGGAAUUAUUGGGCGUAAAGGGCUCGCAGGCGGUUUCUUAAGUCUGAUGUGAAAGCCCCCGGCUCAACCGGGGAGGGUCAUUGGAAACUGGGAAACUUGAGUGCAGAAGAGGAGAGUGGAAUUCCACGUGUAGCGGUGAAAUGCGUAGAGAUGUGGAGGAACACCAGUGGCGAAGGCGACUCUCUGGUCUGUAACUGACGCUGAGGAGCGAAAGCGUGGGGAGCAAACAGGAUUAGAUACCCGGGUAGUCCCUGUCUCUUAUAU
rnacentral:rRNA from 1 species